GGCGAAAGGAGGCCUCUGCUUCUGUACACAUCCACCUCAAUGCAGAAGCAGACUCAGGACUACCUGACAGGUGUCAGAGGAGGGGAGAAGCAACUGUCCACAGCCCUGCAGGAGCCAGGGCCUGAGAAAGACCCCAGGAUGCCGCCUUGUACGCACUGGGCCUGAACUGGUGAGCACAACCCACCGGCUUAACCUCACACCCUGCACGCUGUGCGGCUGGGCCACAGCCACGCGACUUCAGCGUGGAGGGAAGCCGGCGGGUCAUUCUGGGUACCGCGGUGGCCUCCUGCCCUUCAGGACACCGCCUGAGCUGAAAGACAGAGCUCACCCCCGAGUCUCAGGUGGCCGGGCUUAUCAGCACCUACCCGUAAUCCCUGAGGUCCAGGGUGUGCAGCUCCAGCUGAGGCUCCCGCUGCCCGGCGCCCGACGGCCCCUGCGAGGCG